AUUGAACGCUGGCGGCAGGCUUAACACAUGCAAGUCGAGCGGAGCGAGGGUGCUUGCACCUUAGCUUAGCGGCGGACGGGUGAGUAAUGCUUAGGAAUCUGCCUAUUAGUGGGGGACAACAUUCCGAAAGGAAUGCUAAUACCGCAUACGCCCUACGGGGGAAAGCAGGGGAUCUUUGGACCUUGCGCUAAUAGAUGAGCCUAAGGCGGAUUAGCUAGUUGGUGGGGUAAAGGCCUACCAAGGCGACGAUCUGUAGCGCGUCUGAGAGGAUGAGACGGCACACUGGGCGUUGGACGCGGCCCAGAGUCCUACGGGUGGGAGGAGUGGGGAGGAGUGGUCAAUGGGCGGGUGGUAGAUGGAGAAGGGCGGGGGGAGUGUGGAGUGCCUUUUGGUUGUAAAGCACUUUAAGCGAGACGGAUGCUACUAAGGGUAAUCCCCUUGAGGAGUGGACGUUACUCACAGAAGAAGCGCCGGCUGACUGAGUGCCAGCCGCCACGGUAACAC
rnacentral:rRNA from 1 species